rnacentral:pre_miRNA from 1 species
GUGAAAUGAAAUCAGCGUUUAGACAUGCGAUUUUACGUUGAUUCCAUCUCAUGA